ACGGAAGGCAGCAGUGGGGAAUAUUGCACAAUGGGGGGAACCCUGAUGCAGCAAUGCCGCGUGAAGGAAGAAGUAUUUCGGUAUGUAAACUUCUAUCAGCAGGGAAGAAAAUGACGGUACCUGACUAAGAAGCCCCGGCUAACUACGUGCCAGCAGCCGCGGUAAUACGUAGGGGGCAAGCGUUAUCCGGAUUUACUGGGUGUAAAGGGAGCGCAGGCGGCAGGGCAAGUCAGAUGUGAAAGCCCGGGGCCCAACCCCGGGACUGCAUUUGAAACUGUCCGGCUUGAGUACAGGAGAGGCAGGCGGAAUUCCUAGUGUAGCGGUGAAAUGCGUAGAUAUUAGGAGGAACACCAGUGGCGAAGGCGGCCUGCUGGACUGUAACUGACGCUGAGGCUCGAAAGCGUGGGGAGCAAACAGGAUUAGAUACCCUGGUA
rnacentral:rRNA from 1 species